AUUAAAUGUUAUAAUGAGACUCUUCAUUUAAAAAUAUAAUGUCUGUAGGUUCUGCAAGCUGUAAAUGCCUGUAAAGAUGAGCAAGGAAUUAGUACCUUCGAUUUGUACAGUAGUUUGAAAUCCCUUAAUCGGCAGUCCAUACAGGAAGCUUUAGAAUUCUUGAGUAACGAGGGCCACAUCUAUUCUACUAUAGAUGAAGAGCAUUUCAAGUCUACUGAUUGUGUAUAAGCUGCAUACAGUUUAUAUUGUUUUGAGUGUAAUUUUAUUAUAUUUUGGUUAUAUUAAAUGUGUAUUUUCCAGUGGUA